ACGGGUGUGGCUCAAUUGGUAGAGCAGCGGUCUCCAAAACCGCAGGUUGGGGGUUCGAGUCCCUCCGCCCGUG
rnacentral:tRNA from 4 species